rnacentral:rRNA from 1 species
GACGAACGCUGGCGGCGUGCCUAACACAUGCAAGUCGAGCGGGGUCCAUCCGGUAGCAAUACUGGGGAAGACCUAGCGGCGAACGGGUGAGUAACACGUGAGAAACCUGCCCCGAAGUCUGGGAUAACCCGAGGAGACUCGAGCUAAUACCGGACGCCUUCUUCUGAUCGCAUGGUCGGAUGAAGAAGGAUUUAUCGCUUCGGGAGGGUCUCGCGGCCUAUCAGCUAGUUGGCGGGGUAACGGCCCACCAAGGCGUCGACGGGUAGCUGGUCUGAGAGGACGAUCAGCCACACUGGGACUGAGACACGGCCCAGACUCCUACGGGAGGCAGCAGUGGGGAAUAUUGCGCAAUGGGCGAAAGCCUGACGCAGCAACGCCGCGUGC